rnacentral:rRNA from 1 species
UUGAAAGGGAAACGAUUGAAGUCAGUCGUACCUGCGGGUAAUCAGCCUUUUGGGUGUGAUUCUGUGGAGUGUGAGGAGUUAAACGCCUUCAUGCCUGCAUAUUCGUGCACUUUGGGUGUACUUGCCCGUGUGGUUAGUUAACAUCAAUUUUGGUCGUCAUAAAAUGGCUGGAGGAAUGUAGCUUCGAUCUCGUAUUGAAGUGUUAUAGCCUCUGGUAGAUGUGGUGAUUGGGACUGAGGAUUGCAACGAAUACCCUUCGGGCUAUCCGUCUGACCUCUGAAGGUUACUUAGGUGCCGAAAGCUUGCUUACGGUUAUUUAAGUUGACAGUCAAAAGGCUAGAACGUGAUUAUAUUCGUUAAGGAUGUUGACGUA